GGGGAGGGGUUUUUGACAAGUGACCUGUAUUACUCCAGAAAUCUUGAAGGCUUGCCUGGAAUAUGGAUGCAAAUCAACAAUUUUGCACAGAGAUAUCAAGUCAAGGAAUACAAGCCAACAAAUAAUCUUGUGCUCAAGAACCUUAUCAAUGUCAACUCUGCAUUCCAAUUUCACACGGAUGUGGAUUAGGAAGACCUUUAGAUUUGCAUGACCAGAGGAACUUGAUUGCAUGAACGUGGUCAGUUGGUGCAGAUCAGGACCGCUGGUGUGGAAUCUAGGCGGCCACGAUUCUCCACUAACUCUGUGGUCUCCACGUGGUCUCCAGAUGGAUGAAGGACAACCUCAAUGUUUAGAUCUCUCCUGGCGAAAUUGAGAAAGACUAAGGAGUUAAAAUUUCCCUGGAUUAGGGUGAAACCGUGUGCAUAUCCACAAGGUUGAUGUGGGAAACAAAGCAACCAAAGCUUCUGAGCUGGUUUUGCAGAACAACAGGAAGUCUGCUGAUAGGAGAGUAGCUUGCUGCUGGCUGGGCCCCUCCCAGCUCCGUCCCGCCUCCUGCCUGACCAAGCAUCACACAGGGUCUCACGAGACGUCAGCCAUGACUACAGUUUCAUCUGAUACCCGGGUCGUCUUCUAAUCUCACGUGAUUGUUGGAAGAUUCUUUGUCUUGAAUGUCUAGAAUUUUUCUGGCCUCCUCCUUGAAGGCCAGCAGGAGAAUCUCCUUUCAGAUCUCUCUGACUUCUUUUAACAACUCGCC
rnacentral:lncRNA from 1 species